rnacentral:rRNA from 1 species
AUUGAACGCUGGCGGCAGGCCUAACACAUGCAAGUCGAGCGGAUGAGGGGAGCUUGCUCCCUGAUUUAGCGGCGGACGGGUGAGUAAUGCCUAGGAAUCUGCCUGGUAGUGGGGGAUAACGUUCCGAAAGGAACGCUAAUACCGCAUACGUCCUACGGGAGAAAGCAGGGGACCUUCGGGCCUUGCGCUAUCAGAUGAGCCUAGGUCGGAUUAGCUAGUUGGUGAGGUAAUGGCUCACCAAGGCGACGAUCCGUAACUGGUCUGAGAGGAUGAUCAGUCACACUGGAACUGAGACACGGUCCAGACUCCUACGGGAGGCAGCAGUGGGGAAUAUUGGACAAUGGACGAAAGCCUGAUCCAGCCAUGCCGCGUGUGUGAAGAAGGUCUUCGGAUUGUAAAGCACUUUAAGUUGGGAGGAAGGGCUGCUGGUUAAUACCCUGCAGUUUUGACGUUACCAACAGAAUAAGCACCGGCUAACUUCGUG